AUGUCACAGACCGGCUGGGUUUCCAGCAAGAUCCCAGACCAUACACAACCCACCCAGGGUGAAAAGGUGAAAUUAGCUCCAGGAAUAAAAGAAGAUGGCUCCCUUCCUGCUUUCUGCUACCUGAAACAGAGAUGUGACGACCAGAGCUACUGCUGCUAUCUUGGACCAAGAAGUAACCUUGACGUUCCAUGCCAAGGAUGGUGAAGGAGAAAGAUAGACGUCUUAAUGACAUUGUGGAGCCAUCAAAACAACAGCGGCCUGGCCCACCUCCAGAUGUUUUGUUUUUCACAUAGGAGAAAAACUUCUAUUUCUUUUUUUACUUGAAAGCCCCCAGUGGGGAAGUGGGGAGAAACUUCUCUCUUACCUAAGCCACUAUUGUUCAGGGAAUUCUGUGUAAGAAGCUGCACCAAAUACUACCUGAAGUAGAAGGAUCCUGCCUCAUUUUCUUUCUGUAAGAGCUACGUGAAAGAACAUAUGUAAAACUCUUAGUGCCCUUCCAAGCACACAGUAAGUCUCAGUAUUGUUAAUUCUUACUUUUAAGUGAUUGAGCAGGUCAGAGAUUAGAAUGAUACAUAGGAGAGCUAAAAG
rnacentral:lncRNA from 13 species